rnacentral:tRNA from 1 species
GCCCAGGUGGUGAAAUUGGUAGACACACUACUUUGAGGGGGUAGCGCCGGUUACGGUGUGCAAGUUCAAAUCUUGUCCUGGGCA